rnacentral:rRNA from 1 species
UGCCAGCCGCCGCGGUAAGACAGAGGGUGCAAACGUUGCUCGGAAUCACUGGGCGUAAAGCGCGUGUAGGCGGACUGGCAAGUCAGGCGUGAAAUCCCUGGGCUCAACCUAGGAACUGCACCUGAAACUGUUGGUCUGGAGUGCUGGAGAGGGAAGCGGAAUUCCUGGUGUAGAGGUGAAAUUCGUAGAUAUCAGGGGGAACACCAGUGGCGAAGGCGGUUCUCUGGACAGGUUCUGACGCUGAGACGCGAAAGCUAGGGGAGCAAACGGGAUUAGAUA